UACUGCCGCUAUCCUGGAGCCUCAGGGCCCUCAGGUCUGUGUGCCGAGGGUUUCUUCUGUUCUGGAGGUGCUGAUAAUGCCACACCUCGAGCCAACGCAUCUUUAUUCAUCUGUCUUCUUGAAAUACUGGGGCUUUCUUCCAUGAUAACAGACACCACCCUCUGGAUCCACAAUUUGUCUUGCUCCAGUUACUCUGGGGGAAACACUAAUUGGAUCAAAAUGAUCACAGUUCCACAGGCAGAUUCCUAUCAUGUGGGGAUUCAAUCAGCAUCCCGUCUCAACAGCGCACAUAAUGCGUGUUCCGAAUACAGAGGAGACAUAUGUCCUCGGGGU